AUUGAUCAUGUACAUACGCCAUCUUGUCUCACAGCAUAGAUAAUUAUACUUCAACACAUCGAUCUCCGAAGUUUGGACAUAGUUUUAAUAUUGCUUUAAGACGAUCAUUUUCUUUUUCAAAAGAUGGUCAUGUGAGGUAAUGCCAUAAUAUGUCAAUAAAGAGAAGUCUGGAUUACACCUUCAAGUUGUGCUGAAUCGGGAACUACGCCAUCUACGGCGAAUGUCUGAGGAACCUAACAGCCUAAAGAGAGAGUUUACCCAAUCAGUCUGGAUUACACCUUCAACGUUGUGCUGAAUCGGGAACUACGCCAUCUACGGCGAAUGUCUGAUAGACAUAACAGCUUAAAG